CCAAGGAGUUUAUCGUGUGCGCGAGUCAUUGGGCGUUCAAAACCCAAAGGCGUAAUGAAAGUGUANGAAGGCGGCUUGCGAUCGAUCGUGCGAUCCCGGGUCCCUCGGGGCCCGGGCGCAGCAUGGCCCCAUCCCGAUUGCUUGCAAUGGGGUGGAGGANGAGCGUACGCGACGAGACCCGAAAGAUGGUGAACUAUUCCUGAGCAGGAUGAAGUCAGAGGAAACUCUGNUGGAAGNCCGAAGCGAUUCUGACGUGCAAAUCGAUCGUCUGACUUGGGUAUAGGGGCGAAAGACUAAUCGAAC
rnacentral:rRNA from 1 species